GGAACAGCCACUCUGGGAACUCAGGAGGCAAAGGGGAAGUCACAUAUAUCAGUUUGACCUGGUGUUUGACCCACAGCUUUUGCCUCUAGCAAGUAAUCAUGCAGAAGCAGAGCUACCCCCAGCGCAGAGGAGGUGAAACUUCUGGGCUGCCAUAGAAUCACCCCCAGCACUGAGGAGCAAAGCUCCCUAGGACCAAGAAG
rnacentral:lncRNA from 1 species